rnacentral:rRNA from 1 species
UACGUAGGGGGCAAGCGUUGUCCGGAUUUAUUGGGCGUAAAGCGCGUGUAGGCGGCCAGAAAAGUCCGCUGUGAAAACUCGAGGCUCAACUUCGAGCUGUCGGUGGAAACUUUCUGGCUAGAGUCCGGAAGAGGAGAAUGGAAUUCCUGGUGUAGCGGUGAAAGUGCGCAGAUAUCAGGAAGAACACCCGUGGCGAAGGCGGUUCUCUGGGACGGUACUGACGCUGAGACGCGAAAGCGUGGGGAGCGAACAGG